GAUGAACGCUGGCGGCGCGCCUAAUACAUGCAAGUCGAGCGAAUGGAUUGAGAGCUUGCUCUUAUGAAGUUAGCGGCGGACGGGUGAGUAACACGUGGGUAACCUGCCCAUAAGACUGGGAUAACUCCGGGAAACCGGGGCUAAUACCGGAUCACAUUUUGAACCGCAUGGUUCGAAAUUGAAAGGCGGCUUCGGCUGUCACUUAUGGGUGGCCCCGCGUCGCAUUAGCUAGGUGGUGAGGUAACGGCUCACCAAGGCAACGAUGCGUAGCCGACCUGAGAGGGUGAUCGGCCACACUGGGACUGAGACACGGCCCAGACUCCUACGGGAGGCAGCAGUAGGGAAUCCUCCGCAAUGGACGAAAGUCUGACGGAGCAACGCCGCGUGAGUGAUGAAGGCUUUCGGGUCGUAAAACUCUGUUGUUAGGGAAGAACAAGUGCUAGUUGAAUAAGCUGGCACCUUGACGGUACCUAACCAGAAAGCCACGGCUAACUACGUGCCAGCCGCCGCGGUAA
rnacentral:rRNA from 1 species